UAGCUUGCUAGGAGGCGUCGAGCGGCGGACGGGUGAGUAAUGCAUAGGAAUCUGCCCGGUAGUGGGGGAUAACUUGAGGAAACUCAAGCUAAUACCGCAUACGCCCCAAGGGGGAAAGCAGGGGAUCUUCGGACCUUGCGCUAUCGGAUGAGCCUAUGUCGGAUUAGCUAGUUGGUGAGGUAAUGGCUCACCAAGGCCGCGAUCCGUAGCUGGUCUGAGAGGAUGAUCAGCCACAUCGGGACUGAGACACGGCCCGAACUCCUACGGGAGGCAGCAGUGGGGAAUAUUGGACAAUGGGCGAAAGCCUGAUCCAGCCAUGCCGCGUGUGUGAAGAAGGCCUUCGGGUUGUAAAGCACUUUCAGCGAGGAAGAACGCUUGUGGGUUAAUACCCCGCAAGAAGGACAUCACUCGCAGAAGAAGCACCGGCUAACUCCGUGCCAGCAGCCGCGGUAAUACGGAGGGUGCAAGCGUUAAUCGGAAUUACUGGGCGUAAAGCGCGCGUAGGCGGCUUGAUAAGCCGGUUGUGAAAGCCCCGGGCUCAACCUGGGAACGGCAUCCGGAACUGUCAGGCUAGAGUGCACGAGAGGAAGGUAGAAUUCCCGGUGU
rnacentral:rRNA from 1 species